AGUGAACGCUGGCGGUAGGCCUAACACAUGCAAGUCGAACGGCGGCACAGUAAGAGCUUGCUCUUACGGGUGGCGAGUGGCGGACGGGUGAGGAAUACAUCGGAAUCUACUUUUUCGUGGGGGAUAACGUAGGGAAACUUACGCUAAUACCGCAUACGACCUACGGGUGAAAGCAGGGGAUCUUCGGACCUUGCGCGAUUGAAUGAGCCGAUGUCGGAUUAGCUAGUUGGCGGGGUAAAGGCCCACCAAGGCGACGAUCCGUAGCUGGUCUGAGAGGAUGAUCAGCCACACUGGAACUGAGACACGGUCCAGACUCCUACGGGAGGCAGCAGUGGGGAAUAUUGGACAAUGGGCACAAGCCUGAUCCAGCCAUACCGCGUGGGUGAAGAAGGCCUUCGGGUUGUAAAGCCCUUUUGUUGGGAAAGAAAAGCAGCAGGUUAAUACCCCGCUGUUCUGACGGUACCCAAAGAAUAAGCACCGGCUAACUUCGUG
rnacentral:rRNA from 1 species